UUUUUUUUUUUUUUUUUUUUGGGUUUUUACAGAUUUGUAUUCAAUUAAUUUAAAGACAAAGGAAUUUCAAGCUUUAGGCCAGUAAAAUAAUAGACACUGCAUAUGGUACAAUGAUCAUUCGACGAGUCUUUAAGGUUUGUAAUAUAAGGCUUGUGUCCUAAAGCUCAUCUAUUAUUUAUUUUUUUUCCCCUUAUGGUUGCAGAGAGGAGCAACAGAAGUAGCAAAAGAAAUUCUCAAAGAAGAAAUUGACAAAAAGCUAGACAUCAAACAACUUUCUUCAACCUCUAUGGAUCCAUUUUGCAUAGCAGAUUUUGGCUGCUCCACAGGACCAAAUACAUUUGUGGCAAUGCAAAUCAUCAUUGAAGCCUUGGAGGACAAAUUCAAAAAAGAGGGACUAACACCUGAAUUUCAAGUCUUCUUUAAUGACCUUGUAUCUAAUGAUUUUGACACACUUUUUGCUUCACUUCCGCCAGAAAGACACUACUGUGCAGCUGGAGUGCCUGGUUCUUUUCACAGUGUCAUGUUCCCAAAGGCGAGCCUUCAUUUUGCUUAUUCAUCUUACUCGCUUCACUGGCUUUCAAAGGUGCCAAAAGAGGUUACAGACAAUACGUCUCCUGCAUGGAACAAAGGAAAGAUUCACCAUGGCGGUGCCAAAAGGGAAGUUCUUGAUGCCUAUGCAUCUCAAUUUGCCAAGGACUUGGACUCAUUCCUGAAUGCAAGGGCACAUGAGCUCGUGGAUGGAGGCCUGAUGGCACUUCUUAUACCUGCUGCUCCUGAUGCUAUUCGUGAAUCUCAUACCAGUACAAUCACAGAGGUAGAAUGUGAAGUUCUAGGAUCUUGCUUGAUGGACUUGGCUAAGAAGGUGAGAUUUUAGCAUUCUAGUUAGUUUUAGACACUGGCGAAAUCAGAAGUUGAAAUUUGGGUGGAAGACUAGUAAAGACAUAUAAUUAUAUAUAUAUAUAUAUAUAUAUAUAUAUAUUCUCAUUCUUUUAUUUUUAUUUUUUUACCUUCCAACAUAUUUAUUUAUUUCUCUAAUUUUUUGUCAAAAAAUUGUACAUGAAUAUGUUUCAUGCUCUUUUUGAAUGUUAGAAUAUUAUGCUUUUUUGUCCUUUUUCAUUUUCUCAUAGUUCAAAUAUUUAAUAUAAAUAAUUAAUAGUUGUUAAAUAAUUAUGACAUCACGAGUCAAUUAAGGUUCGUCCAACGAACGAUUGAACCAGCCAUCCUUGAUCCAAUAAUUUUUUCUACUCGUUAAAAAAAAAAAAAAGAAAAAGAAAAUCUAACUACCUACUGUAUCCAUUGCAGGGAGUAGUGGACGAAGUGAAAGUGCAUAUGUUCAACUUGCCAGUAUAUUUCACAUUUCCCAAUGAGCUAAAGGCACUGCUGAAGGCAAAUGAAAAUAUGGACGUCCAGAGAAUGGAGAUACUAAACAUUCCAGGAAAGCAAGUGCUUUUUCCCAACCCUACUGCAAAUGUUUUGUACCUGAGAGCUGUCUUACAAGGAGUUUUGGAGAAGCAUUUUGGAAGUGGAAUCGUGGAUGAAUUGUUUGAACUGUAUGGACGAAAAGUUGCAGACUCUUCUUUUUUCUUUGAUCCAGAAAAUCAAGAUCUGAUCGUGAUUUUUGUUCUGCUAAGGUGAAAAAUGAGAACAUGAAUAAGUUAAUAUUUAGAGUACCAUUUUUAAUAAAAUGUGCAAAUGAGAGUUAAAUGUCUAAAGCCAUAAAAAAAAAUUUUUUUUUUUUGGCAAGUAGAAGUUUAAUAUGUCCCGUACUACAUGUGCUGCAAUUUAGUUUUAUCAUUUAGCUACAAAGGAUCGUGAAUACGAUCACUUUUGCCAACCAAGAAAAAAGAUGGACCAAUUUAUAAGGCAAGCUUUUUGUUCAUCACAGACUCAAUAGACCAAUUUAUAAGUUGAUAAAAACAAAAAAAAAUUAUCUACCUACAUUGGUUCGUCGUCCCUGCUCCAGGCGGGAGAAAAUAAAAAAGGAACUACAAAAUACACAUACUAUGGGCAAUAGAAUUGCAAAUAUGACUAUUGUCUGUAGUAGCCACUCUGGUUAGGAGGAUAUGGGGGUUGGACCGUGUAAGGGGGCCUAGGCAUGGAUCCUGGUUGAGGAGCUGCAUUAUAGUAUGGACCACGCCAUCCAGGAUAGGCAGGCUGGCCAUACUCAUGGGUAACAGGAGGCUGCUGUUGAUGCUGUGGGGGUGGGUAUGGAGAACCUGAAGCUGGUACGUGAUAAGGAGGUGGUACUUGUUGUGGCGGAGAGACAUAAGGGGAAGGAGAUUGAGCAUAUCCGGCCAUUGUUGGCUGCUGCUGGGGCUGGUAUGGAGGAGUUGGUGGAUGUGAAGGGUUGGACACAUGCACAGGUUCUGUGUGCUGUUGGGAGUUUGGCCUUGGAGUCUGAUGGGGCUGUCCAGCUGCAGGAUAACUGUAACCACCCGUACUCUUGUUAUCCUGAAAACUGAGACCUGCAAUGUGUCUCUGAACAUCUUCAAUCAUCUCCCGGCACUGAAUGUUCCUUGUCAUCACAAAAUCACUACACUGUUGCUUUAUAUUUGUGAUAGCAUCCUGUUUAACAGAAAAAAUUGAGCGUCAAUAAACAAAUUUUGAAUCGAUUACCAAACGAAAAACAGAAAAAAUGAAAAAAAAAAAAAAAGGGAUUCAUGAACCCCUCACCUUUAAUGUGUUUAAAAUUUUGGUUAACAGCCAUGAAUUAAUUGUUAAUAUACAGAAUCAAGCUCAACUUUCUUUGGCAUUUUAAAUUUGUGUAUUUGUCAAUGUAGAGCCAAAUGUAUCAAGGGUAAAGCUUCAUGAACAAUAUUACCUUAUAUUUAGUUAUCAAAACUACAACAGCCUUAAGUAAUAUAUGGGCAAGGCUAAAAAAAUGUAUAUAACUAUCCACUUAAGCCAAAUACGGCUAUACCAGCCAGUUCUCUCUAGCUGCUAAACCAUACUAUGGAGGAAUGAAUAAUGUAAAAGAUAACAGACUCACAUAACUCUGUUUGUGCACCAUUUUUUUUUUUUAAUUAGCUAAAUCAGUGAAUGAAGGGAGUGCCAACUGUUUGUUCAUCAUUAUUUUUGAAUAAAAAAUAUGAAAUUCAAGCUUCAAAUGGGUAAGAAUGACUUGAAAAAUAUAUAGGGCCAAACUCAUGAAGGAAAAGCUCAAACCUGAAGAGUAACAUAGAACUUCAGUCCUUCAUUUAUGUUCUCCUUAAUUUCUCGAUACUUAGCUAUUGCAGCUUCUAUUUGCUUGUAGCUCUUCUCUCGAGAAGCUGACAAAUUGAAACAUGGAUUCAGGCAUGAAAGCGUGAGCAACAGAAAGCAAUAUUGAGGGCAAAUUUAGAUGGGAAAAGCACUGAUUUUAGCUUGCAUCAAGUGCUAGAGCUGAACUUUGUAAACCAGUAAAGCAAGAAGGAAGUGCCAUAGCAGUAAGAAGUCAUAACAAUGAGUCAACACUACCUGUCAGGACGAUAACAAUAGAUUCUUGUUUAUUGCAGCAAUUAGACCUUAAGACUAAACUAAGGGAUGAAAAACUCGGCUCAAACUAGAUCCUACAAGCUGUGCACCAAGAAGGGUGCCAUCAGAAUUUAAACCAAGUACCUAUACGCCUCUCCACAUUCAAUACCCCAAAUUCCCAAUUAACAGACAGUUGGUAAAGGACAAUAGGCCAUAGUCCAAUUAUAUGACAUAUUAAUUCAUGCUAGUAAUGAGAAAAAGACAAUCAAAAUGGCAAGCUACUUUUCAGCACAUAUAUUAGAACCUGCUUUUGAGUCAUUUAGUCUGCUUCCGUGAGCAACAUCACAAAUUAUUGGUGAGAAAAAUUAUAAGCAUCAUCGUUGAUAGAGAAAAAGGAUACUUGAGUUUGAAAAAUCUAGCAAUUUCCAAGUAAAACAGAAAUAAGGGCUCGACAGGCAAAUUCCUCAGCCAAAUGAUAUCUAACUUACCACAAUUCAAAAACAUGUCUAAUUCUAAGAGGAAAACCAUGUACCAUUACCAAGUAAAAGCCACCCUAGUUGCAGUGCCAGUCAACUUAAUAGGUUAAAGCACCCUCUGCUAGACGUUUAUCCACAGCUAUCAUGAAAAGCAUGAAAUGUAGUCUAGAACUAUGAUUCCACUAUAAACCCAGUAACAAACACCACCAACCAUAACACCAUACCCUCAUAACAAACAUGAACAGAUGUGAAAAAGCCUAAUGCAAAGAACAUAAAGCAGAACAAACCUUUGAAAUCUUCAAGAUUAAAAACUGCUGCAAAGUUAUCAUUUUGAACCUGAGGCAAAAUAAAGACAAUUAGAACAAGAGGUUCUCAAACCACACCUGCAGCAUCUAAGAACGUUCCAAUUAGGACAGGCAAAUUAUUAAAUCAACAUCUACUCUGAUUUACAUUUUCAUUUAUCCAUGCCUCACCUCCAUGAGGGCAAAUUACCCUAACAAAACUGAAAAGUCAAUAUUUUGCAAAGCAAGGAGAGAAACAAAAUCUAUCAAAAUCUUGAUUUUUAAAUGCUGAUUUCCCUCCACAAGAAUCAUCAAUUGUCAAACUUACAACUCUCUGGACAGUUUAUUAUAGUACACCAUGUUAUCCCAUCCCCAGAGAAGCCUUAAUCGUCAAGUUGAUAAAUUUCACAGUAAAUUCACUUCUCAUUUCUGGAAAGGGAAAAAUUAACCUUGUCCUAAUAAACACAAACCAUAUGCAUAGUACUCAUAGCAUACCAAAUCAGAUCAUCAGGCAGCCAUAACUACAUCUUUCUGAUCAUUAAGUUUCAUCUUGUCAAAACUAGGAAGAGAAAAUUAGGGGGGGAAAAAACGAGUGUCAACAAAAGCAUGCCAAUGGCUUAAAAGUCACUUAAAAGUGGUCAAACAAAUAAAUGUAUUCUUUUCUCUUUUUCUGGUCAAAUGGAUGUUCAUCUUGAUGCAUGUCAAGGCACCAACAGUACACUGCUCACAGCAAAGAUAAAUGUUAAAAAGAAGCACGGCGAUUUCAUCCCUGCACUUGGCUGGUGUAAGAACCACAGGGUUGAUGUUGGACUCAGUAUUAGUAUCUAAUGUUCUAAACAGCACCCGACUGACAAACAGAAUGAACGUCCAAAAUGCUUUAUUUCAUCUCUUUACCACAUCAAAGGGUACCAAACAACAUCAACAGAGUAGAGGAAUUACAUAUGAUACCAAUAGAACCUCAAAGAAAUGCUUAGCGGUGAAAACUGCCUCUAAAAUACUAACAUUAUUGUCAAUAGGCACCAGGGACCCCAUCGAGAUAUCAAUAGUUUAAGAAAAUACCGAAGUACCUGAAUAUGCAUCAACAGCUGUUCUUGUCCCUCAACAUUUUGCGCAAUUUCUUGACAAAUAUGAUCAUACUUUGCAAUUUCCUUCCUAUAGAGAUCCUCAUGCGAACCAGUCGACGUCAUCAACUUUGGUAGUAUGUCAUCCUGAGCCACAAAAAGAUAAGCACAAGUCAAAAGUAACAUAACAUUAGCAUGAGAACAGCAUGACAGAUAGAAAUGACCACCCUCCGCAUAGAUGUUUAAUUGUAAUUUUCAGAACUACAAUAAUUUCUCAGCUUAUAUCAGCAUAAGGGAAGUUAUAAAUAAGAGAAUAUGGCACUAGAGUAAUACAAGUCAAUAAAUAAAGAUGAUCUCACUAAUUAUAUCUAAGCUAAUGGGAGGCUAAUCUAGUUACUACAUUUCUUCUUGGAUAUAAACAGGAGACUUAUACUUUGGCACUUGAAAACAAGUUCACUAGAAAAGUAUACAAGAAAGAAUUUCUGUUAAGGAAUGAAUUCACCAGUAAGCAACAAAGAGACUGGUAACAGUAGGCAGAACUCUAACAGAAAGAUAAGUGAAAGCAGCAUGGCAAAAGAAGACUUCAAAUAGUUGAUAGUUCAGAACAAUAUCUGUUCAAAGAUGGUCUAAACAGCUAAACAAAUUGAAUAUGAGCGAGUUAUCCUCUGUACCUUCCUCUUCAUCUCUUUUAGCAUGUCUUCAAGACCUGCCCUCUGAGCACCAAGAGUCUCCAAUUGCCUCUGCAAAAAGAGCAAGGUUGCAUUUAUAGUUUCAUGGGAAAAUUAGUUCGGUGAUACAGUCAAUCAGAGUCUUUCAAAGUAGAAUUGAUACUUCACGCAAUAAAAAGGGAGAUGUAGCUUCUUUCAUCAUGAAAACUUUCAUUUGACUUUUUUUCCACCUUGAAACAAAUAGAAUGACAGAUGCACUUAUUUCACAUGUAGUUUUACAAAGAAUGAUUUCAAAAGACCACAAAGUAGUACCGACAACUUCUUCCUUCCUUGUCAUUGUUAUAUUCAUAAUAGAAUGAUGUUUUUAGUACUCCAUUAUACUUUCUCAGUCUACAAACCAAUACAGUGAUCCCAAAUUCUUAAGGAUCCAUCUGUAAACGAAGUCAAAGAGAAAUUGACAGACUUAAUAAGACCAAAGAGGUGUAUCUUGAAAAGCUGAUUCUCCUCAGCAUCAUAUUUUAAAUUCUUUAUUCAUUUCAAUCACAAUGAAAAAACUUCAACGUGAACAUGCCCUAUUGCCUAACAGAGAUUAGAAGAAAUUAGUGAAGUUCCAAAGGUCAAUUUGUUGACAUGAAUUGCAACUAAAUAUAUGUCCAGAAGACUUAAUAAUCUUCAAAAAACACAACAAAUAGAUUUUACACAUUACUAACUCAGAAUUAAAACACAAACAAAACCAACUUACCAAGCUCUGUUUCAGGGCUCCCACUACAGCAUCUUCAUUUGCAUCUAAUGACAUUAUGGGCCUUGACAGCGAGGGUAAUGCAGAUUCAAUCUACCAAAGAUAAAAUGCACAGAAAAGAAUCAAAUUCCUGUUACUUCACAGAAAGUGCUCAAAGAAAAACUCGAGCAUUAGAAUUAUGGGUCCAUUCUAAUUCUUAGUAUUAGAUUUUGCUUUUCACACCCACUUCCAGCUUCCAAAAAAAAAAAUACCUCUCCAGACUUGAUUUGAAGAUGAUAAUUCUCCUUCAUAGAAUUUCUAAACAUAUAAAUCUUCAGAUGUUACAUGACCUUUUUCACUAAUCACAUUUUUUCCUGUCCAUUAAAAUUAAGGCAAGAACAAGAAGCAACAGAUAACUAAGCACUUGCUGCAAAAAGGGGAAAACUAAUAAACAUCAAUUCAGACAUAAUGCAGUUCCAAUUUCAAAGCCAAGCAGCCACACAACACUCCUUAUGGGAAACAGAACAUAGGAAUUUAUAAGCUCAAUAUUAACCUAACCCCUAGCUAAAUAUCCAUGAAAUCAGAUAAAAGAUUUAUAAAAUCAUGCAAGUGGCUAAAGGAACUUCAGUAUUACCAUCAGAGUAAUUAAAACUGCACAAACUUCAAAACCAUUAAGAGAGGGGGGGGGGCUACUGAAGGAUUUCCAAGCCCAUAAAAGAUUUCAAGCAAUAUAUCAAUCAUACAGCAACCGAAGUCAUACAAAUUAACCUAAAUCAAAUAAAGAAGCAUACUGGGCGAUGAUCAAGGAUUGACAUUAGUGCCGAAUGAUCUCUCACAGAUCGCUCUAUCCGUCCAUCACUUUCUGCUGCCUGCUUCAAGUUCGCAGCAAACCUAUUAAGCCGAUCUAGCAAGUUCUUUGUUAAAGUACUAGAUUGUGGUCUAGUCCACCGUGUUCCAAAUUGGCUUCUGAACUGUGCAUCUUCUGUUGCCUCUUUUUGCAGGAGCUCCUCUGUCUGCACCAACAAUUCUUGGUCCACCCUCCUCAAAUCUUUAAGUUGCUGUAACUCACCCUCUAAACCAGCUGGGCCCCCACAAACUUGCACAGCCUCUACAUCUUCUUUAAGAUCUGUUGGAAGAGUGGAAUUCCCUUCCAAAGCAAGAAUAGAAUCGGGUAAGUCCAUCUCCUUCAGCCUCACUCGGGCUAGCUCACUUGCCUGUUGUAAUUUCUCAGCUUGCAUCCUGAUAAUGUCAUCAACCAUUUCUGUAUAUCUUGAAAGAGAUUUUGCACUGCUAUCAGGAACAAGCCUCACAAACAUUUUCUCCUUGCUUGCAUCCAACACCUCAUUCAUUGGCAUAGGCUUCACCAAUGAAAAAGCAGGAAGUGGCGGCAAAGAACUGGCAGUAGGAACCCUCAUUAAGUAGACUCUUUCAUUCUCCUUCACAGCCCUCUCCAAGUUGCGGUUCAGGGUUGAUUCUAAUUUGGUCAUUGCAUCCAGAAGCUGCUGAGCUGCCCCCCUUGGACAUGAUUUCUUUGCCUCAGUCAAUGCAGCAACCCCACUCUUCAAACGGGCAAUCUCCUCAGCUAUCUCUUCCUUCUCAUGGAGCUCCAAACUGUACCUGUAGCAAGCCUCUGCAUAAAACAAGGCUGCUUUAAGCUGAACAUGAGCUAGCCAGUUCUUAUCAAAGUGCUGGUUGAGAGGUGCAACAUUCAGAGCUGCCAGACCCUCCUCAUAAUAUAGUCCAACCUGUAACACCACAACAUGCGACCUCAACUUUGCAGUCAUUGCCAAUUAUGUGAACCCAAAACAUGUGAACUAUAGUAAAGUAACCAUUUUCUAUCAAAAGAAUUUACGUAUUAAUGGACAUACUAAAUUAAGAACAAUCUGCAAAUAUCCAGUAAUGGCACACAUUCAAUAAUAAGAUCAUUAGUAUAUGGGCGACAAAAACAGUCAUUAUGAAUGGAAAGAAUAAAAAAAUUGGAAAAGUUCUCAAGUUUCACCAGGUGUAAGGACAUAUGGCAUUCAUAUUAUUGAAGAAUCAAGGUCAAUGUAAUCUUUUGACUGAACAGAUCAAAAGGUGAACAAUAAACCAAUAUGCAAAACUUGAAUGCCUUUGUAUAGCUCCUUUUUUUAUUCAAUUGACCAAAAAAAGAAAGAAAAAUUCCUCUAAUGGGGACAUUUUCCAGUCUAUUCUUCUUGCGUUUGUUCAGAAAGAAUUCCAUCUGCUGAAGCAUUAUUUUAGUGACUGAUAAAUCGUUAGCAUUUGCAAUACCUGUACUUCGAAAUAGUUUCAACAAGAAAAAUACCGAAAAAGAGAAAGACCAAGACAUAGAUGGUCUCAGUUUAGUUACAAAAGGAAAGUCACUGCAACCAAGGUUAUUGAGCCAAAAUCACCAGUUAUACGUUAUUGCAAAAUCUUUAGCAAAUUUGCACACCAUACUUGUAUAUCAAAUAUUUGGACAGCCAAAUUUCAAAUAAAAGGUAGCUAAGCUCCCAAAAAUCCCUAAAUACCUGUCUGGAAAUCUUUGCACAAACCCCAGGAGUGUUGCCCUUGGCAAUAGUAUUCUCGAAAACACACUCCUGAGCCUGAGCCAACAUCAGUCUCUCCAGCAUUCCAACACACUCCACUGACACAUCCACAGAUGUUGAGCUACCCAUUGAUGCCUUCAUUGCCACAUUAUCCCUCAAAAAGGCAAAUGCACCAGCUGCUGCUAUAAAAGCAUGAGAUGCCUGCUUUCGCCCAUCAACCCCUGAUCGGUCAAAACUCAGCCCCAUUUGACUAUGGACUGCCCCCAAAUUAAACAACACUGCAGCUUUUUCUAAAUAAUAACCCAAAAAAAAAAAUUUGAUGGAAUGCCAAUUAGUAUGCUACAACUCGCAAGUAAAAUACAAAGCUUCUAUAGAAAAGUCAGAAAUGAGUAAGAUUAACUGAUGGACAAGUCUGCCAAAGACUCGUACCAACCUCCAGAAUAAGAAUAGCAUAACAUAUUCCUUCAAUUCUGCCUAAAAAAUUGUACCUUGCCCUAAAAUCCCAAUCAAAAAGUAAAAGAUAAAAUCAAUCUUUUCAAGAACACUUAACGCACUGUACUUUCUGUAUGCUCUGAUCAUACGAGAAACAAGAAGACCAGAAACAAUUUCAUUUUAUUGUACAGAUUAUCUAUAGUUAAUCCCCUCACAAGAACCAAAACUAAUAUAAAAAUAUGAAAACCUAAACAAAAGUUUGGUAUCCCUGUUUCCUAGCAAAUAAAGAUCAACAUAGAUUUCCCCAAGAGAAAAGGAGUAUAAAAUGUCAAUAUUUUGCCAAACUAAACAACACUACUGAGUCAUUGCAUCUUACACAGAACAUAUUGUAGCACAGCGAAAUGCAAUCAAUCAAACAAGCAAAACAAUAUUUACCUAACUCAAAACAAUAAAGUACUAAAUGACACUACAGAAUACACCUAAAGCAUUGACGGAAUGUACCAUAGCAAAAUCGAACCAAUCCAAAACAAACGAAAAAAAAAAUUGAAAUUUUACCUAAAUGAAUAUUUUGCUGGGCAGCUUUCUGUUUAUUUUUGAACGCAUCAAACCAAGUGAACGUGACCGUACUAAUAUGGUCUUUAUCGGGAGAAAUAGGGAACCUCGACUCCACAGCGCAAAGAGCUCGAUAAUACUUCUGGAGAAGAUCACGCCGCGCCGGGAGAGAAUCGGCCGGAGUAGGGCCACGUUCCAUGUCGGUUCGAAGUUCCUUGAGGGUUUGGAGAUCGUCCUCCAAGUUCUGAGCCUCACGUUCGCCGUAAUUGAUCACUAUGUAGUUCCGCAACGGACGGUAAAGGUCUAAAGAGUUGGUCUUCUUCUCGUAUAUUGCUAGCAUGAUGUUUGUGGUUGCUGCAGCCGUUGACGACGACGGAGACGCCAUGAUCGGCAGUGGUGGGAUAAAUAUUAAGAAUUUCGAUUAAAUCCGGCUCCGCAAUUCUAUUUAUACUGAUUUUUCUGUAGAUAGAUUAAAUUGAUUGAGAAAAUUGGUAGGAUUGAAGUCAAUGGGAAGGUGUGUAAAUUGGCCCCCCGCGGGGUGUUUUGGGGCGUGUGGGAGGUGUUUUGCUUAGUUGGAAAGUAAAGGACAAAACCUUGGGGGAUUUGUGGGGCAAAAUUGAUAAAAGUGAUUAGGAAAGUGAUUAGGGGGCAAGGUUUUGUUCAACUAAGAGUUUAGGGGUUUCAGUGUAAUAUACUUGAUAACAAAAUUAAAAAAUGAAAGAGUUCUAAAUAUAAUUGCUGUUUUAACCUUUUAUUUUUACCAAUAAUCCUAUUUUAAUUUCUAUAUCUUCUACUAAUUGUUAACAUUACUAUGCUCACUUGUUGAAAAUAUAUCAAUUAGAUCACUUGUAGAAUGAUUUAAAGUGGAUAGCCAAAAUAGUCUACAUUAAUUUAUUGUAGCAUAUACGACUUGGUUUGGAUUUUUUUUAUUAGGAAAACUUUAAGAAAAAUAUUAUUAUUGCACUUUUUUUUUUUAAAAAAAAAAGAGGUUCUAUGUAAUAAAAAGUUAAUUGUAAAACAUGCUAAAAGAUUUUCUUUUUUUUUGUCAAAAAAACUUGAAUAACCAAUAUAUUUUAGAUAGAAAUUGAGAAUCAAGAAAAACUUAUUUUAUUUUAUACGUUAUUUAUAAGAUUAUAAGACGUCCUUCAAAAUCUUGAAUUAACCAAUAGUUAAAAAAAAUAAUAUUUUAAAUAAUAUUUUAGAACAACAAAUAGUGGAAUGAAUACUAAAAUAUUAGUCAAAAGAAAUUUAUACACUAUGAAACUAUUUGAAUCAUAACUUCUACGUCUUGGAAUCUCAACCUUAAUGCCUCCUUAAUUACGUACAAAAUAGACAAAAAGAUGGGGAGGCAAAAUAGAACAACUCAGAAGAAUGAGGGCCAAAACAUUAGUUCACCAAACUUCGGAGAAAAAUCCUAACCGGGUUCCGAGUAGUAACAUAACAUUGCAAGGCUGGCUGACCGGGUUAGCAGUAGCAGAGGAAUCCGGUCCAUGAAUUAAGAAACAGCAGAAAACCGCGUGGAGUAACACCCACGCAUAUUCUUUCUUGUUCUCAGGUUCUAUAAAGAUCCGGUGAACCCCUAUUUGGUCGAACUCUCUAGAAAUCCUUUCAGAUUGGGCAGCAGCUGCUCAGAUUUCGAAGGUUGAGAUAACGCCGCUUUUCAAGAUUUCACAGCUAAAUUCAAAUCUUCUUGUUAGCCUUAGGUAGCCGUCUCAGAUCUCUCCUUCUUGCUGUUCAUCCUUUGUACAACUAACCAGGUAUGUGACGAAUUUUAGUUUUCGCCAGUUUUUCUAUCUUUGUAUCUGAUUGGAUUGAGUGUUUGUCUCUCGCUCCUAAAUGGGUUUUAAUUGUUAUUUUAUGGGUUUCUCUUAUUUUGUACUCAUUCAAUAUGCAUACGAAGAAAUUUUAGUGUUUAUGCCUAGGCCCUAGGGUUUGUUGCUGCUGUUUGAUUACUUAGUGUAGUGGCUAUACAACAAGGCUGGAUGGAUUUUGAGUAGAUGAAUUUUAGCUGGAAUAUUGAGUUCUUGAAGAUGAAAAGUAACAAGGCUGGAAAUAUUUAUAGCUAGGUGAAUUAAAUUUUCGAAGGUGGUUAUUAUGUUUCCUUUUUGGUUGUUAGAUUUAAUCGUGGCUGAAGUACAGUACUUAGUAUCCGGUUCAAAAUCUUUUUUUUUUUUUUUUAAAUUUGUGAAAAUUAGUUGCUGAGAUAUAAAGCUUCAUGUGAAUUAUGGAUUGGCUGCAGACUUCUUGGAAAAAAGGAUUGGAAGUGAAGAGACAAAUUUUAGUUGGGCAUUCAAGAUUGUGACUUUCUUAUAGUAUUAUAUUGUUAUAAGGUAAGAAACCCGACUCGGAUUUGUACAGUCUCUUUCUUUGCAUUCUUUUGUCAUGUUUAUAUAAUUUCUCUGCAUGUGUAGUAUUUUGUUUAUUACUGAGAAGCUGGAUUUGUAUUACUUUCUGCCAAAUUUCAUGAAAUUCUCUAUGAAUGUUAAAAAAAAACUGUAGUUUUUUUGGUGCCAAUGAAGCAAAUCAAUUGCUGCAGUUGUCAUGCCCUAUGUAAAUUUUGAACCUGGGAAAUGUUUGUUAAAGAGAAUCUCUUAUUUUCAUGUGUCUCAGAUGAUUGUUAUAGAGAAUCUCUUAUUUUCUUGUGUAAGAUACAGUCAACAAAAGUGUAGGACUUCAUGUGGUUGAUACUUGUUUAAUACCAAUAACAUUGAUGAUUAAAUAUUUGGCUUAAAUUAUGUACAAAUGCUUUCAACCAAUGUUGUGUUGGAAUAUACGUUGAAUUGGUUUCUGUUGUAACCCUCCAAUUCCUGUCGCUAAUAAGACUAUUAAAGCUUUCUAAGAAAAACAAUGAAAGUCUUUUUUCUGAAUGAGCUCACCAGUCUCUUUAUCAAUUAUGGUGGACCCUGCAGCUUUUUAGGGUGUGAAUUAAGUUGCCGAACAAUCUGCCAGGAAACCAGCCUCAUAAUUUGCGAAUGACAUGUUUAGGCGACUGAGUAUACAAUCUGUAUGAAUUAUUUGUUGUGUGCUCUCCAGAAAUGAUUAUGUCUUAUAGUGUCUUUUAACCCCACCUUGACGUGCUUCAGUUGAAAGGUUUUCUUGUUUCUUUCUUAAUUAUGUUUUUCUUAGUGCUCUGUUUAGAUUUUCUUUGCAAUAUACAUUGAAAGAAGUUUUUUCUUAAUAUCUGAGCUGUUCAAAAUGUAUUUAACUACCUCAUUUUGCUCCUACAAAGGGCGUUCUUCCUUUGUGCCGAGAAAACAUUGUAAUUUUUAUACCAAUUUUGCCUUCUAGAUUUCUGCACCUUCACUUCACCACGCGUUCCACUUUUAGCCUCCAAUUUUCCAUCUUAGAUGGUUCAGAAUCACUCAAAUCUUGUGUGCUGAAAAGAGAAUUCUCUGUUUGCUUCCAAAAACACCUAAAAGGUUGUGUAAGAAGAAGUUUGCACAUGGACAGCUUACUAAUUGCUUAAACCAGUAAAAUAACUUUCACUGUGCAGAAACUAGUCUUCGAUUGUAGAGUUUCUUUGAGGGGAGAAAGACAUAAAAACAAUCAAAGAUAUCUAUCAUAUAUCUGCCAGAGAAACAUACGGCUUUGCUAUGUUGUACUUCCAUUUGUCUUUUCUGAAACAAUCAAAGAUAUCUAUAAAUUUGCUUCUCAUGCUAGUUGUUGUUGAUCAUCUCUUUCUUGACUGAUUUCCUGGUGGAGGAACUAACAUUGUUUCUUUCUCUUUUUGAGAUGUACUUCUGGUCAUCAUCUCAUACCAAAAUGCAGGUAUUCAGUUGUAUUUUAUAUCAAAAUGGAUGCCAAGAAGUUUAUCCAGCUGGUCGAGGAGAAGAAGAAGCGGAUGAUGGAGAGGAAAGAAGCCCCUUUGAAAUGGGAGCAAAAAUUGGAAGCUGCAGCCAAGGCUAGAGCUGAUGCUGAAAAGGAGAGAAAGAUGAAGGCCACUAAGCACAAGAAAAGAUCUGUACCAGGUUCUGAAAGUGAUUGUAGCAGUGACAGCAGCAGUGAUGAAAGGAAGUCAGCUAAAAGGCCCCACAGGAAGCAUAGGAAGCAUAAUCACUCUGACUCAGGCGAUAAUGAGAAGAGGAGGGAUAAGAAAUCCAGACAUAAGUCGAAAAGGAGAUCCUCUGACUCUGGUGAUGAUAGCAGUGGAUGUGAUACUGAUUCACAAGAAGAGAGGAGGAGAAAGAAGCAGAGGCAGAAAAGGCGAAGGCAUCAUGAUUCAAGAUCAGAUUCUUCUGGUGCUGAUUACUCUGAUGAUGAAAGUGACAUUGAUAUGAGAAGAAGAAAUCGCAUAAAGAGUCACAAGCGCCAUCGGAGAUCUCAUUCUAGUGAUUCAGAAUCUGCAUCUGACGAUGACUAUCCAGGCAGAAAGAGAAACCGUGCAAGGCACCACAAACGUUCUAGACGAUCAGGUUCAAGUGAUUCAGAUUCAUCAAGCGAUGAUGACACUCCAAAGAGGAGCCGUCAUGCGAAACACCAUAAGCAUCAUCGUGGAACCCGUACUCAUGACUCGGUGUCCUCAGAUUCUGAAGAUCAUCGUCGUGACGGGAGUAGAUCUCUAGGGAAGUCAUCUGAUGACGAUUUUGGUAAAGUAGAAAAGCAGAAAAAGCAUCAUCAUGGACAUGGUCGUCACCACCACCAUCAUCAUCAUAACAAUCACAAUCGCAUCCACUCUGACGAAACGCCACUCAAUGAUCAGCAGGCUGGGAAAGCAACAGAAUCAAAUGGAAAAAAUACUCUGCGAGAGGCAAAUAUGGACAAUAGCCAUGAUAAAGCUGUUGAACAGCAAACUGCUUAAUGGUCCGAGUGUGCCUUCCAAUGGAUUCAUGUGCGCUGUUUCUGUGUAGGUAACUUAGGGUUUUCUGGUUGGUGUUGCUGGAGGCUUGGAAUCUGGAAUUUGUCAAAGAUUAUAUGUUGAACUGCUGCAGCAAAAACCUUUCUGAUUGACAUUUGAAUUUACUGAUUCCGUAUAAAUAUGUAACAGCUUAUCAGCAAUUUAUUCCCUCUCUUUGCUGUGUGGAACAUUUAUUUUAACAAACUGUAAUGGAUGCGUUUAGAUUGAACAAUCAACCAUCUCAUGCGAAUGUCUAGUUGCUGUUUGGUUGGCAUGCCUUGUAUCUUCAUUGAUCAGGCCUACAUUUCUUAACAUGUUCAAAAUCUUUAUUCAUUCAUGUUUAAUAAAAUCUCAAAUGAUACAAAUUUCUUUCGUAUUCCGUGAUCAACGUGACAUGAAUUAGCUAAACCUCCAUACAGGUCUGGGAUGUUUGAGCAUAAAAUUAAUUACUAAUUGCAAACCCCACCAGGUUCGUUGCAGUGUGGUUGAGGAGGUAUGAAUUUUGAAGGGUAUCAAGAGACGGACCAAUAGUUUUUUUUUUUUUGAACUCAGAGACGGACCAAUAGUUAAAAGCUAUAAAAUACAUGAAAGUAAUCACUCACUAGAAAGCAUCCUAGAAGCGUAACAGUAACUACACACUAACUGUUGGGUCUUGGCCAAAGUGGGCACUGAGAAGAAACAGGCUGGCGUAUAACAAAUCCAGACAUUAUUCUCUGAAGAAUACAUAUCGAACUACAGCAAUUGAUAAGGAAGCACGUAAUGGUGCACGUCAAGUAUUAAUACAAAAUUUAGUGUAUCAUAACUAAGGCAUCGAUGCUUUUGCCCACUUACUUCUGCUCCUUAAACCUCUAGAAUGCCUAACUCUUAAUCAAGACUGCCACGUUCACCUUAAAGCUGAACCACUGAUAGGAGUUGUACUCAGUGAAGGCAGUGCUAAUUAGCUGUUGCAACCCGUACACUCUCAAAAUUGCAAAUAGUGGAGUCAUUUUGCGAUCAAAAUUCAAAUGCUGAGUCAUUUAUACUCAGCAAGAUAAAAUGAAUGGAUAGUACUGACCACUAGGUAAAAAUAAUACAACAAAUACAGCCCACAAAAAUUUAUUAUCAGAAGUUCUUUAAGAUCUUCUCUGCGGAGACUCCAUCAGCGACAAGAAGAGAAGUAACCUCCUACAAGAAACAAGAUCAGAGAUCCUUAGUUUGCUUUCUUAAUGCAAAUGGAAGAAGAUGCCUACUUAAUGCAAAUCAAGAAAUAUCUAAGUGGCCAUAGUUUACACUUCUGGCACGCCAGUUACCUAGAAGAAGAGAAUUUUCAUCUUCUUAAUUGUAAGGCAGUAAUUCCAGUCAAGUGCUUAAACAAGUUUACUUUUUAAAUCAACCUUCUUUUUUUGGGUUUUUUCUGGGUCUCAAACUUCUACAAUAAUCUCUCCAUCUUCACAAGUCAGAUUAUAUUUGUUCAUCACAUCCAUG
rnacentral:lncRNA from 1 species